GACGAACGCUGGCGGCGUGCUUAACACAUGCAAGUCGAGCGGUAAGGCCCUUUCGGGGUACGACGAGCGGCGAACGGGUGAGUAACACGUGGGUGACCUGCCCUUAGCUCUGGGAUAAGCCUGGGAAACGUGGGUCUAAUACCGGAUAUGACUCCAUGACGCAUGUUGGUGGGGUGGAAAGCCUUGUGCGGCUAGGGAUGGGCCCGCGGCCUAUCAGCUUGUUGGUGGGGUGUA
rnacentral:rRNA from 1 species